rnacentral:rRNA from 1 species
UACGGGGGGGGCAAGCGUUGUUCGGAAUUACUGGGCGUAAAGGGCUCGUAGGCGGCCAACUAAGUCCGACGUGAAAUCCCCAGGCUUAACCUGGGAACUGCAUCGGAUACUGGAUGGCUUGAAUUCGGGAGAGGAUAGCGGAAUUCCCAGUGUAGAGGUGAAAUUCGUAGAUAUUGGGAAGAACACCGGUGGCGAAGGCGGCUAUCUGGACCGACAUUGACGCUGAUGCGCGAAAGCGUGGGGAGCAAACAGG